rnacentral:tRNA from 1 species
AUUCUCUUAGUAUAAUAAAUAUAACUGACUUCCAAUUAGUAGAUUCUGAUUAACCUCAGAAGAGAAUA